AUACGUAGGUGGCGAGCGUUGUCCGGAAUUACUGGGCGUAAAGGGUGCGUAGGCGGCAGAUAAAGUCCGAUGUGAAAACCCAGGGCUCAACCAUGGGAUUGCAUUGGAAACUAACCUGCUAGAGUACAGGAGAGGGGAGCGGAAUUCCUAGUGUAGCGGUGAAAUGCGUAGAUAUUAGGAAGAACACCAGUGGCGAAGGCGGCUUUCUGGACUGAUACUGACGCUGAUGCACGAAAGCGUGGGGAGCGAACAGGAUUAGAUACCCUGGUAGUCCACGCCGUAAACGAUGAGUGCCAGGUGUAGGGGGUAUCGACACCUUCUGUGCCGGAGCAAACGCAAUAAGCACUCCGCCUGGGGAGUACGGUCACAAGACUAAA
rnacentral:rRNA from 1 species